CCCCUAACUAUUAAAAGUUUCGUUUUGGUCCCUUAACUUAUUUUUUGAUUUCGUUUUGGUCCCUUAACUCUUCCUCCGUCAACCACUUUGGUCCUUUAUGUUAGGAUGAAUGUAUUAGAGUUAAGGACCAAAACGAAAUCAAAAAAUAAGUUAAGGGACCAAAACGAAAUCAAAAAAUAAGUUAAGGGACCAAAACGAAACUUUUAAUAGUUAAGGGACCAAAACAAAACCAAAAAAUAAAUUAAGGAACAAAAACGAAACUUUUAAUAGUUAAGGGA
rnacentral:pre_miRNA from 1 species